AAGAUCCUGCAUGGAUCUGGGAUCCCUGGUCUCUCCUCUGGGCUCUCUUCAGGCCAGAGCUGCCAAGGAGGUCAGAGCUGUGCCUUGGCAGCUCUCCCCAGGCUCAGUCAGGGCCCUGCUGCAUCUGGCUCCAGCACCUCUGGUGGGGAAGGCAGCACUCUCCCUGCAAGCUUUUUCCCUGGAAGAGCAGAAAACCACAAGCAGCUCUCAGCAGGAAAGAAAAUGAGCUGUGGUCUUUGUCAGCACUCAGGGACUGACAGCAUCAGCCAUGGAAUUAAAGAAUCAUAGAAUGGUUUGGCUUGGAAAGAACCUUAAAAAUCAUCCAGUUGCAGGCCCCCUGCCGUGGGCAGGGACAUCUUCCACAGGACCAGGUUGCUCAGAGCCCCAGUCAAAUUGUCCUUGAACAGUUCCAGGGAUGAGGCAUCCACAACAUCUGGACAACAUGUGCCAGGGCUUUCAUAAGUGUUAUGUCAUCUCCUGCAACAGAGGAAGAGAAAUGUCUAAAUUAUAGGACUUUGUGAAGACAACAUGUUUCUAAAAGCAUCUUCAAUUCACCAUUUUCUACAAUGAGUAAACAGUGAGAGGGGAAUGUCCUUUACAGAAAUGAAGAUCCCCCUCACAGAGAGCAGCAUGUGCCCUGCCCAGUCUGCACUCGUGCAGUGUGUAAAGGGAGUUGUCACCUCCUCCCCUCUGCAAACACACUGCAGCAAGUGAAUAUUUCAACUUCAACCCUUCCUGAGCUUGUGUGACAUCUGCUAUGGGAAAGCUGUCAUGUCAGCCCACUGUGCUGUGUGUGCAUCCUCCACCUCUGCUGUCUGAAGCUGGAGAUGAGAAGAGCCAGGUGUGCAGAGGGAUGGCCUCUGAGUGCCACACCCAGCUGCCAUCACCCUUCCCACUCCAGCAGAGCUGAGAGGCUCACCAAGGUCCUGAGCCACCUCACAGGCUCUUUCACCAGGCAGAUCCAACGCCAUAAAAAUAUCCCUUGAUGAGCAAGAUUAAAGGAUCAACACUUUACCCUGGGAUUUACCCUGUGUUGGAUGCACAGCUGGUGGGGAGAGAAGCCUUAGAUGGGAGUGCACCAGUUUCUGCCUGAACCCAGCUCUGCAGAGCUCCUCUCUCUUUGCAAUUAAUCCCUGCCUCAUUCAGUGAUGCAGAGUGGACAUUCACCUAAACCCAUUAAUAAGUGAAGGGAUUUGAGCAUGAGUUUAGUAUUAAAUUCACAGUUAAAUGUUCUGCUGAAUGGAAAUGGAGCCAGAAAUUGGCUUAUAUGCUUUGCUGAGUAGGAACAGCUUGCAGCAGUUCAGCAUCAGUGGCAGAGGGAGAUUACUCUGUGAGGAUGAUUCACUCCACUCAAGCCCAGACAACCCCAAGCUCCACCAGCCACAUCCCACCCUGCCUGUAAAGAGACUUGAGAACACGAGAGCCUUGAAUUGAGCAAUGAUGCAAAUGAUGAGUGCUGCCAGAAGACACCCAGGAUGUGAGAACAGCAAAUGCAGAAAGGUUCACUGCAGAGCAUCUCUCCCCUGGGGAUCUGCAUGAACCUGCAGAAAAGCUGCACGAAGGGAGCAGUGACCUUAUCAACCUGAUGUGCAGCAGCCGAGUCAAACCACCAGCACUUCAGCCAGCUCCACUUGGAGCACUUGCCUACACUACAAAGCCUUUAGCAGCAGCUAAAUUGGCUGAUUUAUGUCAGAAGACCCAGCUUAUAUUUAGAGGGGGGUGAUUUGGAAGAUUUAUCUUAAUGUUCUCCCUGAAUAAAAUAAAGCUGUGUUCUUCUGCUGGUCUAAAUUCUGCUUACUCUGCUUACUUUCCUGAUCUACAUAACCUGGUUUGGGAAAUAAUCCCUUUUGCACAGAAAAAUGUCAGCUUGGCUGAGGAGACCAAUGCAGUGGCAAACAUACAAAGAGGUAAGUGUAGGAGAAAUUAAAAAAAAAAGAAAAGAAAAAAAAAAGAUGACAAGAGGCAGAAAAUUUGGGAUAAAAAACAGGCAAGGAAAGGCUUCCCGAUGGUAAAUCA
rnacentral:lncRNA from 1 species